rnacentral:lncRNA from 1 species
UGGAGGUUGCAGUGAGCUGAGAUCACUGCAGCCUGGGUGACUUUUAUAUAUAGAUUUGUUUUAUGAAACUUGCCUGAAAUCACUUACUUUAAAAAUGACAUAAAGUUCUACCUCUUGGGAGCUUGGUAAAAAUAAAAUUUCUCAAAGAAAAAUUCAAUGGGCACUACAUCUCCAGUACCUAACAGUACUUGGCUCAUAAAAGGCUCUCAAUAAGCAUUUGUUGAAUGAAUACUACUGAAGAAUCUGGCUAAUGCUGCACAUAUAAGCAGCACCACUGGAAAUAUAGAACAGGUUCUGAAGGCAAAGUCUGAGCAAUUACUUGCAAAGUCACACCUGUGGCAACAGCCUUUGUUUGCUGCUGAUAUGUUGGGGCCAUUUGCACAUCAAGCUGGACACCAUCCUACUUCUCAGAAGUCAUCAUCUAUAAUUACAUCCUUCCUGAGAGUCUAAAAACACACAUUAAACUAAUAAAUAAAUUGAAGCAUUUAUGUUCUGUGAAAACAAAAAGGAAGUUAUUUGAGGAGAGCGGUUAGUGUAGAAGGAAGCCAGGAAGUUUCAUUGUUCUUGUUAGUCAGGGAAGACUUCCUGGAAGAGGUAAUUUCAGGAGCCCUGAGAAUGAUGAGAGAAGAUAGAGGUUGAUUGGGGGUGUUCUGAGCAAGUGGUAUGAGCUUAAAUAAAACGUCAGAGACACAAGAGCAAGAUGAAUAACGGGAGUAGUGAAUAACUUUCCAAAGAAUAAAGGGCCAGUUUUGGAAGGUGUUUGACAGACUAGUUCAGGCACUUUCUGCAAAAGUAAAGGCCUUGAGUGCCUCUGCAAAGGUUGAAUGUUGAUGAGUCUGAGCUCUCAAAAGAUGAUCAUUUUGGCCCCAUCACUCCACUGCUUGGGCUCCCUCCUGCUCUGGCCUCCCAGUUACUUCUAGAGAGAUUCCAUGUGAGGCACAGAGUGAGCACGGCUGUAUUUCAUAGGUUCACUGGCACUGGGGUGCAGCAAUACACAGUCUCAAUGCCAUCACACUUAAAAGUGGCUUCCUUAGAAAGAAACGAGGAAAUGAGAAGGAGUCCACUUGAGUGAACCCCUCUACCUAGACCUCCCUUCCAAGUUGAGUGAAAGCCGCCCCUAAGAAGCCUGUGCUCCUUGAGGAACACCAUCCGCAGGACACACUCCCUGCCAGGGAACACGUUGCCUGGGGUCUCUGGGGUCUGUCUUAUGGUCUUUGUGACCAUCCCUUUGUGACCAGGUGCAUAUACGGAGAAGUGGCUGGGAAAUGGGCAGGAAGCCUGCAUUAUUUUCCCUGCUGCAUCCACCACUACUGAGUAAGCAGCAAAUUCCUGGAACUGCUUUUACUGUUUUCUGUGACUCUUAUUAGGAACCACACUCAUGAGUCAUACAACCAGUAAGGCUUACCAAAUAUUUACCAUGAGCAGAAUCCUAAGCCAGGUCCCGAGAGGGCGCACAUAAAGUCAAAACUGAAAGGAAGUCCCCAAAGUUAUCUGAUCCAGCUUCCUGCUUUCAGGUAGGUGAAUGUCAAUAAAGUGAGCUAGUUGUUAGAAGAAAUAUGCCUUGCGCUCAACCUCUCAGAAGGCUCAGGGGAUGCCCCAAAGUGGCAAAACAAUUGGAGAAUGAGACUCACCUGCCAAGAGGAAAGACACUGAAUUGAUUCACCCCUGAGGAGAGCAGGUUAAGGUGUGGUAGUUUAGUUCUGCAGGAAAAUCAUAGGCAGAGCUCGAGGCCAACACUUCUCUGCCUCUGUUGGGGAAAGAACAAGAGGAAAUGGGUUUGAAGAACAACAUGUAGGACCAAAAAUAAACGCAAAGAACUGCCGAUCAUCCGUGUUGUUAAGUCCUGGAACGCUGAAAGCAGUGCAGAGUCCUUCGUUAAAAGAAAAACAAAAACCAAACCUCAGGUAUAAUCUUGCCUAGACGCAAACCAAAAAAAGAUCUAGGACAAUCUCUCUAAGAUCUAUGUUAUCAGCAGUUGCCUCUGGGUAAAGGGAUUAUUGGUGGUAACAAUAACUGAAUUAUUUUCACUAUGUAUUAAUUAAAUAUAUAAUUUAUUAUUAAUGAUCAAUAAUUAUUGCUGUUUUCUGAAUUUUUAAAUUUUCUGUGGUGUCCCUUUUUAUAAUGAGAAUCUUCAUUUUUAGGAAUCUCUUCUAGUCUUCUGUGACUUAAAAAUUUAUGAUUCAAUUUUUAAUAAAGUCUGGAAUCGCCUGGUAUAUAAAAUUGUAUCCAUGCAAAAUAUAAAAAUUCAUGGCUACUUUUAUAUAUAGAUAUGUUGUAUGAAACUUGCCUGAAAUCACUUACUUUAAAAAAUGACAUAACAUUCUAGCUCUUGGGAACUUUGUAAAUAAUAAUAAUAAUAAUAAAAUAAUAAUGAUAUAAAGGUGUAUUUAGACUUAGUCUUUGUAAAUCCCUUUAUAUUAUGCAGAC